GGGUUUGGUAAUACUGUGGGUUUGGUAAUACUGUGGGUUUGGAGUACUGUUGGUUUGGUAAUACUGUGGGUUUGGUAAUACUGUGGGUUUGGUAAUACUGUGGGUUUGGAGUACUGUUGGUUUGGUAAUACUGUGGGUUUGGUAAUACUGUGGGUUUGGUAAUACUGUGGGUUUGGAGUACUGUUGGUUUGGUAAUACUGUGGGUUUGGUAAUACUGUGGGUUUGGUAAUACUGUGGGUUUGGAGUACUGUUGGUUUGGUAAUACUGUGGGUUUGGUAAUACUGUGGGUUUGGUAAUACUGUGGGUUUGGUAAUACUGUGGGUUUGGUAAUACUGAAGGUUUGGUAAUACUGUGGGUUUGGUAAUACUGAGGGUUUGGUAAUACUGUGGGUUUGGUAAUACUGUGGGUUUGGUAAUACUGUGGGUUUGGUAAUACUGAGGGUUUGGUAAUACUGUGGGUUUGGUAAUACUGUGGGUUUGGUAAUACUGAGGGUUUGGUAAUACUGAGGGUUUGGUAAUACUGAGGGUUUGGUAAUACUGUGGGUUUGGUAAUACUGAGGGUUUGGUAAUACUGUGGGUUUGGUAAUACUGUGGGUUUGGUAAUACUGUGGGUUUGGUAAUACUGAGGGUUUGGUAAUACUGUGGGUUUGGUAAUACUGUGGGUUUGGUAAUACUGAGGGUUUGGUAAUACUGAGGGUUUGGUAAUACUGUGGGUUUGGUAAUACUGUGGGUUUGGUAAUACUGUGGGUUUGGUAAUACUGUGGGUUUGGUAAUACUGUGGGUUUGGUAAUACUGUGGGUUUGGUAAUACUGUGGGUUUGGUAAUACUGAGGGUUUGGUAAUACUGUGGGUUUGGCAGGAGAAGACAAAACAAAGCAAGAAAGAAAAGAAGAGAAGAAGUAAAGAGUGUGUGUUGGAUUUUGAUGUUUUAUUUGAUAUAUUUAUUCAUUUUCUUGCAUGUCUCAUGGAUGGAAGGAAGGGAAAGAGGGACACGUUUUUCUGUCACCAGCAGAGUUGAGUGAAGUAGAGUCAUUAUAUAUUGUUGUAUAAUGGGCACAACACUUUGUGUGUAUUCCAAUCCUUGUCAGUGCACUGCCAGAGUUGCCCCAUUCCAUUUGAGAGCUGGCUCUAAUUCUGGUUAUUGCAUUGAGGACCACACAAGCAGUUUUGAAAUAUGAUAACAGGUUAUGUAUAUAUAACCUGAAAUGACUGCAGAUACCUAUCUGACUCCCAAACAGCCCAAAGUUAGUUACAAUUAUGCGUAUUGUUUUAAAACCUUGAAUUCCUAUUUUAUUUACUCCUAAAAUGCUCCUAUAACAAGAGUUUAUAUUCACUGUUCACGUGUAGAGACAAAACUAUUUGGGAUAAAACUGAUGACAUGUUAUAUCUCAUAAAACACACUGGCAGACACUUAAAAAAUAAAUAAUUUUAAAUAUGCAGAAAGCGUUUAUAUUUUGUAUAUCACUGUAAUUAUCAACCGUUUGUGUUUUUUCCUCACUCCAAAUUGUGCAAUUUACUGAGAUUUAUGUGUUAAUAAAAACCAAUGCAAUAAAACUAUUGGCAACAUUA